GACAGAGGGGGCAAGCGUUGCUCGGAAUCACUGGGCGUAAAGGGCGCGUAGGCGGGCUGGCAAGUCAGUCGUGAAAUCUCUCGGCUCAACCGAGAAACGUCGGCUGAUACUGCCGUUCUUGAGGGAUGCAGAGGAGACUGGAAUUCCCGGUGUAGCGGUGAAAUGUGUAGAGAUCGGGAGGAACACCGGUGGCGAAGGCGGGUCUCUGGGCAUUUCCUGACGCUGAGGCGCGAAAGCGUGGGGAGCAAACGGG
rnacentral:rRNA from 1 species